rnacentral:misc_RNA from 1 species
UAUCUAGAUUUCCUAAUGUAUUUACGUUUUAUUCAAUUAGGAUUAGUUUUAUUCCUAGUUUAUCUAGAUUUACUAAUGUAUUUAUGUUUGUCUAGGCUUUUUAGUUAGUAAAGUUAUUUCCUUUUAGGUUUAGGAAACAAAAAACUCUUUAAAUACUUCUAAAUUCUAUGUAAUUUAAGUUUUGUUCAAUAAAUUUCUAGCAGAGUUAUUUUUCUCUCAAACACUCUUCUGUAUUGUAACACUCUUCUGUAUUUUGGGCCUCUCUAGAAGUUUUGACUUUCGGAUGUGUGAGAAAAUAGAACAGAAGA